AUGUGAAGACGACCUGGCUGCGACAUGUGUUACUCUAUUGAUCGCAGAUGUCCCCUUCUUCCCUCACCAAUCUGCGUGGGUCCCUCUGAAAGCCGCCUCCUCUGUGGAAGAAGACAACCAUUCCUGAUAGAGGAGGAUCUUUCUCUGUAAAGAGUAUGGGAGAUGCUGCAUUCCCAUGCUAGAACCUCCAAACAUGCUCUCAAUUUGUGAUGCAUGUGUGUGUGUGUGUGUGUGUGUGUGUUAUUCACAUAUGAAGGAUGCCAUAAUUUGGAUUUCUUU
rnacentral:snRNA from 1 species